GAAUUGGCCAAUCAUAGUUUAACCUCCUUCUGUUAGCCAGAAAAAAUAAAUGACGUUGUUUUCAAGUGAUGGGGCGAAGCCACCCUCUGUGCUGUUAUAUGGAUCUAUGUUGAACCUUCUUACCUCCUUCCAAAGAUCCCAGAGGAACUUUAAACAAAAAACUAGCUUCCUUGGAUGCCCAGCCAUUCAACACUCAACUCCUUAGUGAUCCGAAAGCAGCUUGUUCAAAAACCAUGCCCUGGCAAUGACCCCUGGACCCCAAGUGCACUGCAACGUUUCUGCCAGGAAGGAGACUCACCGCCUCAUGCCUAUGAGCCCUUGUCUACCAGCACAGACCUUCUGGAAAGUUUGGUACAGGCUUGGUGGACUCCUCUGUCUGGUCAGCAGAAGGCCUCUCUGGCCCACUACCUUGGAUUGGCUUCAGCUAUGCAGUUCUGGUUGCUUCUGGUGGGAUCACUGGCUAUGCCAAACCAGCCAGUCUCUGGCUGCUGGGCUGGGUGCUUAUCAGCUGUCUCAGGAACCUUUGGGUUUCCUAGCUAUACUUGGAACCUUAGCUGGCCUUAUGGGAAUGAGAUUCUAUCACUCUGGAAGAAUGCCUGCAGGCUUAAUUGUGGCUGCCAGUUUGCUGAUGGUGGUUGCCAAAUUUGGUAUUAG
rnacentral:lncRNA from 1 species